CUGAAAGUUGGGGUAUUGGGGUAGCUCGGACCGGGAAUUAACAUAGGCCUGGUGGCGUUAGUCUACCACUUCCGGUUUCGGAGUUAUGACCCCCGAGCGAAGCCGGGUAUCCUGCUAGUUUCUCAUAAACAGUAAUUGAAAGUUGAGUAAAUUCUUGGGAUGCUUUGUGAACUCGGGGCCAGGGACUAUAUCUAAUUCUUAAGGCAAACUCAAGAUAUAUUUCGGUAGAAAAUCCAAAAUCGCCAGCGAAAAUAACUCAAGAUAGCGUUCCAAACAACUCCCAUCCUUGGCUCCACCAGUUUCCUGAUUAUUAUUUAUAUUUCUGGAUUAACGAAGAAAACAAAAUCAUAAGUGAUAUAGAUUUUGGCAUAGGUAUCAAGACUACAUUGUAUUCUUAGUUGGUGGGUAUUUUGUGCGUGUGUGUGUGUGGGGGGGGAAUCAAUCUAUCAUUCAUAUGAAUGAAAAAUCGUGCUGAUAAUACAGAAGUUGUAAAUAGAUUCACCUUUCGUCAUGGGUGAAGGGCAAACCUUUUCUUUUACCGCGCAUUGAAUAAGUAAAAAUUGUCGGGUAACAAAGAUAUUCGGUGAAUGUGUUUAUUUUUCACAAGGCUGUGGACCAAAAUAAAAUAAUGGAGAAAGGAUGGGAUAUUGUAUUUCGUUACCUUGGUCGAGGAUUUUGUUGUUUAAAUCAAGUACAGAAAGCAUGUUUUAGAUAAGAUAAGGAAAGUGGGUCAGGCUUGUAACGGGUCUGGGGAUAACCUAUAAGUGGCAAGAGUUCACCAUGACAUUUUAUUGCCGUAAAGUUUGAACUACAUACAAAAGCUAUGUAAAUGUUAGGCACUGUUGGUACAUGUCUAGUAAACCAUGAUAUAAAUCAAUGACUACCGAAUAUCGAUCAUUUUAAGUGUAGGAUAAGAUGCCAGUAUAAUAUGUGAUCGACCGUACAACACUUCAGACUAGUAGUUUCCAGCUCAAUAACCAUACACACACCAUUACUAACCCCUUUGUACUCAUCGCUGAUUGGACGAUAUUCGGGUCAUUAUAAACAAUAUAGACCCUGUUUUAUCAUUCACGAUUGGCGGUAUGAAGAAACGAAUUAUUAAUCUGUGGUUAAGUUUAGUUCGUGUGUACACCGGUGAUCUAUAUUUUAUGAAUAUAGUAUGAUAUAACAUUCUUACAGACGUUUGUCCUAUAAAUUAAGGAGGCAUGUAUUAUCAAAGUACGUGUGGUGCACUAUUGAAUUUAAACAAUCAAUAUUAUAUUACCACUGACGUCAUAAUAUUCUAUGAUGAAGAAGUUUGAUGAUCGAGAGGCCUACACACCAGACAGCUCUAGGUGCCAAUAAACCACUAGCUGAGAAGGUUAUUUGAGUUGAAUGAAAGAACAUUGGCUUGUGUACACGGUUAUAUAUUAUAAAUAGACCUUUCCAACUUCCUCUGAAUUAUGUGCGUAGCGUAAUAUGGGUUAGCUUUUUUAUUGUAAUACAUUAGACCUUACAUUAGACCUUUGAUUUAACUGUGAUUUAAUAUAAUUAUUUGGAUGUUGUUAGUAUUAUAACGAAAUUUAAAAUUAACCCAGCAUUUAAAGUGUUUUUUCUGGUAUUGUACAUUGAAACCACUUUCUACCACCGUGUUAGCCGAGAAAGUUCCUCGGGAUUUUCCAGGCUGUCUCCCCAUGCCAAGUGUAAAGAAUGGAGGGCCUGGCAAUAAACAACGUAGAGUCGUACGAAAACCGGGGUCCAGUGUGCACGUAAAAGAAUCAUUGGCAGUUGAAAUCCCAAAAGAAUAGGCGGAAAGGCCGCUUUUCGGGCAAAAUUACCGCCAUUAUCCCUCUUCGUUUGUCCGGUUAGUGGAGAAAAGUUAGAUGGUAAAUCCCAUUUUAUAAAAUAUGAAAUAAACACGUCUGGCAAUAGGUCACAUUACUUUCUUGCUUUGCAAACUAUUAUAUUCCAUUUGAGUCAAGUUGAUUAAAGCAGCUCUUACAAAAAAUGAAAUGAGGUAUAAUGUCAUGCUUUUCUGCUACGGUUGGGCUAAUGAAGACGGACGUACGCCAUACAGUGUGCUAUCAGGUAAAUGUUGUCCGGAUAGCGGCAAUGCGGCCUAUUAUAUCGAAUUCCAACUGCCAAUGGAAAAUUUACUUGCACGCCAAUGUGUACAUAGAAGAACCUCGGUUUUUCAUCCCAUCCGAAAGACUUUACAUUGUCCCUUGCCAGGCUAUAUGUGCUGCACCACUGACAAAGGAAAACCACGCCGUAAAAUCCCGAUGAACUUUCUCGGCCAACGCAGGAAUCGAACACGGGACCUACGGGUUAGCCAGCCAACGUCUUACUCACCGAGCCACCAUGGCCCCACAGCUCUUACAGAAACUCUAAAAAGACCCACGCGUGUCCCUUUAACAAAGUUUGGCACAGUUCUAACAGUGGUAUCUUUACAAAAAUGUUUAUUCAAGGUAGGAUAUAUCUAGAAUACGUGAUAAGGCGUUUGUUUGGUAUGAAAGAACGUAUCUUGUUGAGUCAGUGUUCUUAAGAUAAGAGGGGUUAACAGCGAGUUAAAACAAUGGUAAUGGGUGUGGGGGUUAAAGGGUUAAUCACACGUGUACGUGCUUUGCAUACAGUAUGUAGCAUGAGUGACAUAAUUAAAACUAAAGCCUUCUAAUAAUCAGCCUUUUCGAGUUGAAGGUAUAUAAUAUGGUAACGUGCACU